UACGAAGGGGGCUAGCGUUGCUCGGAAUCACUGGGCGUAAAGCGCGCGUAGGCGGUCCGUUAAGUGGGAUGUGAAAUCCCCGGGCUUAACCUGGGAAUUGCAUUUCAAACUGGCGGACUAGAGUGCGGUAGAGGGAGGUAGAAUUUCCUGUGUAGCGGUGAAAUGCGUAGAUAUAGGAAGGAAUACCAGUGGCGAAGGCGGCCUCCUGGAUCGACACUGACGCUGAGGCGCGAAAGCGUGGGGAGCAAACAGG
rnacentral:rRNA from 1 species